GGUCAUGAGUUCCAGCGUCAAGCCCCGGCUUGCUGGGCGGCAACCCUCCUACCGCGGUGGGGUGCUCCGGGUGACGACACGGCGACGAGCGAAUGCGCUCGACGCAAGCGCGGGUU
rnacentral:ncRNA from 2 species